rnacentral:rRNA from 1 species
CCUACGGGAGGCAGCAGUGGGGAAUCUUGCGCAAUGGGCGAAAGCCUGACGCAGCCAUGCCGCGUGAAUGAUGAAGGUCUUAGGAUUGUAAAAUUCUUUCAGUAGGGACGAUAAUGACGGUACCUACAGAAGAAGCCCCGGCUAACUUCGUGCCAGCAGCCGCGGUAAUACGAAGGGGGCUAGCGUUGCUCGGAAUUACUGGGCGUAAAGGGAGCGUAGGCGGACAUUUAAGUCAGGGGUGAAAUCCCGGGGCUCAACCUCGGAAUUGCCUUUGAUACUGGGUGUCUUGAGUGUGAGAGAGGUAUGUGGAACUCCGAGUGUAGAGGUGAAAUUCGUAGAUAUUCGGAAGAACACCAGUGGCGAAGGCGACAUACUGGCUCAUUACUGACGCUGAGGCUCGAAAGCGUGGGGAGCAAACAGGAUUAGAUACCCUGGUAGUCCACGCCGUAAACGAUGAUUGCUAGUUGUCGGGAUGCAUGCAUUCGGUGACGCAGCUACGCAUUAAGACAAUCCGCCGUCGGGGAGGUACGGUCGGCGAAGAAUUAAAACGUUAAAAGGUAAAGUUAGACGGCGUGAGACGUGCCGAACGGACGACGACGAGGGAGGUAGG